GUGUUCUGAAGAUGAACGGGGUUGAACAACAUGAGGAGAACGAGUUACAGGGAAAAAAAACAGCAGGAGAAAAUGCACAACAAAGACACCUCUUAUACCCAGAAGGGGGAAAAAACACUUUAACAGCUCAAAAAAGAGAGCAGCAUCAAAAGAAAAGGAUGAAAGAGGCCAGAAAGGACACAGGCGGGAACAAGCCUUCACUGCUCACAUGAAAGCGAGAGGGGGAAAUGAUCCAGGGUGGAUUCUGUGCUCCUGACUCCUGAGGUGGCGGUAUGCACAUAAAAGUUGGUUGCAAUCCCCCAAUAAUCAAGAGAAGAAGAAGAUUGCCGAAGCUACUACAGCCUACAGUUUGCUAGCUAGCAAAGUCAUCGACUACCGUCGUUUAAAAAUCGAGACUCAUCAGACCAGGCAACAUUUUUCCAGUCU